rnacentral:rRNA from 1 species
UACGUAGGGUGCAAGCGUUAAUCGGAAUUACUGGGCGUAAAGCGUGCGCAGGCGGUUGUGCAAGACAGAUGUGAAAUCCCCGGGCUCAACCUGGGAAUUGCAUUUGUGACUGCACGGCUAGAGUGUGUCAGAGGGGGGUAGAAUUCCACGUGUAGCAGUGAAAUGCGUAGAGAUGUGGAGGAAUACCGAUGGCGAAGGCAGCCCCCUAGGAUAACACUGACGCUCAUGCACGAAAGCGUGGGGAGCAAACAGG